GCAGUGCUGGCCGCGGACGCAGAGCGGCGCGUCUUGAUCCGCGUGGAGCCUCUAGUUUCCUCCUCUGACGCGCUUCUGCUGCCUACUGAGAGAUCACGGGCGCCAUCUUGGAUCAAGAGAGGCUUUCAAACGGGAAAAAGUCGAAGAGGCAGGAAAGAAAACAACAACAACCGUUAAACACCCGCAAACCCGUUCGCUCGGACCGGCGGCGAGAAUGACACUCGGUCUGAAGUCAUGACAUCUGCUUUAAAGCACUUUUUAGAGACUCGGACGAAGUAAAGCAGCAUCAGCCGCCGGAGCGGGAGGUUUCCUCGUCCGCUGGGAAAGUUGUUGUGUUGUGUGUGUAUGUGUCAGCUCGCUCAAGAACACCUUUACCUGUCCGACAUGACCUCAGCCAAUUCAGAUAUACCUGAGGUGCCGUCUCUGGCCACAGCAUCUGGAUCUCUUGCUAACAGUGUUGUGCCGAAGGCCAACAACAAACGACAAGCCACCUCGGACUAUGACGACGACGAGGGAAGCAAAUUGUUCAGGUUAGUCAUGACGUGUGACUGGAGGGUUUGAACUGUGACGGGCUGCCUGUCUUAUGACUGUGCUCAUCAACGUGUCCUUCUUUGUUUUGUUUUCUCAGGUGUGAUGAUGAUGAUGAUGGAGGCGGAUCGAAUGACAAGGAGAAAUUUGCCAGGUAUUGAAUGAUGGAAAUCAGAAUGCAUUGAAAGUAUAAAUAUGAUCAUCUGAUCUUCUGUAAGUUCUCAAGUAUCAGAGUUGACCGGUGUUUCCUACGUGUGCUGGCUUCAUUAUGGUAUUCAUAGUGAAGUUUCCAAACACGCUUCCCGUCCUCCAUUGUUUGGCUGAACAGACAGUCCUGAUCCAAACUCAUGCCUUUGAUUCAGCCAACGUUGUUAAAUCAACCAAUGUUUUUUUUUAAACAAUAUCUUUGUCUUUGCAUAUCAUUUAAUCGGAUUGCCAAAUGUAAAGAAAAUUUUACACAAAGUUUAAUGCACAAAAAAUGUAAAUGCACAUUUAAAAAUGCACAAUAACUUUUUAUUUCCAGGAUGAUGGAUGCCCUGAAUUAAACAUGAAAUAUAAUGAGUUAAUGUAAAGAAUAAAUAAAUAAAAGUAGCUUACUGCUGUUUGACACAUUUAAGGCAAAUGUUUUUUCAUGCACUGAUCAAUUUUUCAGAGCCAUUCGGGUUUUAUAACAUGUCUUCUUUCAGACUAGUGUAAACAUCCAAAAAUACACAUUUAAGUGUUUAUUGUAUUACACUUCACCUUUUUGUAUUUGAUUUCGAUUACAAUGCAUAACUCCACUUCAGCAGCACUUGCAUGCUUCAAACUUUAGUUUUAUUCCCAUCUGUAUUCUGAAGAGUUUUUUAGAGGGGCUUGUAUCAUUCCCCUCAUUUAUAUAAUAUUUCAUUGGUGAAAAUAUAU
rnacentral:lncRNA from 1 species